rnacentral:rRNA from 1 species
UACGUAGGGUGCAAGCGUUGUCCGGAAUCAUUGGGCGUAAAGAGCGUGUAGGCGGCUUGGUAAGUCCGCUGUGAAAGUCCAGGGCUCAACCCUGGAAUGCCGGUGGAAACUGUCAGGCUCGAGUCCGGAAGAGGCGAGUGGAAUUCCUGGUGUAGCGGUGAAAUGCGCAGAUAUCAGGAGGAACACCAAUGGCGAAGGCAGCUCGCUGGGACGGUACUGACGCUGAGACGCGAAAGCGUGGGAGCAAACAGG